rnacentral:rRNA from 1 species
UACGUAGGAUGCAAGCGUUAUCCGGAAUUAUUGGGCGUAAAGCGUCCGCAGGUGGCUAUGUAAGUCUGCUGUUAAAGAGUGAGGCUCAACCUCAGAAGAGCAGUGGAAACUACAUAGCUAGAGUGCGUUCGGGGCAGAGGGAAUUCCUGGUGUAGCGGUGAAAUGCGUAGAUAUCAGGAAGAACACCGGUGGCGAAAGCGAUCUGCUAGGCCGCAACUGACACUGAGGGACGAAAGCGAGGGGAGCGAAUGGG